rfam:Megasphaera cerevisiae DSM 20462 scaffold_49, whole genome shotgun sequence.
UUCAGUGGUGAUGGCUGCAGGGAUCCACCUGUUCCCAUACCGAACACAGCAGUUAAGCCUGCAAACGCCGAAAGUACUUGGGUGGAAGCGCCCUGGGAGGAUAGGAAGCCGCUGAUU